GACAGGGGAUGCAAGCGUUAUCCGGAAUGAUUGGGCGUAAAGCGUCUGUAGGUGGCUUAAAAAGUCUCCUGUCAAAGAUCAGGGCUUAACCCUGGGCCGGCAGGAGAAACUCUUAGGCUAGAAUUCGGUAGGGGACCACGGAAUUCCUGGUGUAGCGGUGAAAUGCGCAGAUAUCAGGAGGAACACCAGCAGCGAAGGCGGUGGUCUGGGCCGACAUUGACGCUGAGGAGCGAAAGCGUGGGGAGCGAACAGG
rnacentral:rRNA from 1 species